AACGAACGCUGGCGGCAGGCUUAACACAUGCAACUCGAGCGCCUCGCAAGAGAAGCGGCAGACGGGUGAGUAACGCGUGGGAAUCUACCCAUCUCUACGGAACAACUCCGGGAAACUGGAGCUAAUACCGUAUACGUCCUUCGGGAGAAAGAUUUAUCGGAGAUGGAUGAGCCCGCGUUGGAUUAGCUAGUUGGUGGGGUAAUGGCCUACCAAGGCGACGAUCCAUAGCUGGUCUGAGAGGAUGAUCAGCCACACUGGGACUGAGACACGGCCCAGACUCCUACGGGAGGCAGCAGUGGGGAAUAUUGGACAAUGGGCGAAAGCCUGAUCCAGCCAUGCCGCGUGAGUGAUGAAGGCCCUAGGGUUGUAAAGCUCUUUCAACGGUGAAGAUAAUGACGGUAACCGUAGAAGAAGCCCCGGCUAACUUCGUGC
rnacentral:rRNA from 1 species